UACGGAGGGUGCGAAGCGUUAUCCGGAAUCAUUGGGUUUAAAGGGUCCGCAGGCGGAUUUAUAAGUCAGUGGUGAAAGCCCGUCGCUCAACGACGGAACUGCCAUUGAUACUGUAAGUCUUGAAUUCGGUCGAAGUGGGCGGAAUAUGACAUGUAGCGGUGAAAUGCUUAGAUAUGUCAUAGAACACCGAUAGCGAAGGCAGCUCACUAGGCCUGGAUUGACGCUCAGGGACGAAAGCGUGGGGAGCAAACAGG
rnacentral:rRNA from 1 species